UACAGAGGGGGCAAGCGUUGUUCGGAAUUACUGGGCGUAAAGGGCUCGUAGGCGGCCAACUAAGUCGGAUGUGAAAUCCCCAGGCUUAACCUGGGAAUUGCAUCCGAUACUGGAUGGCUUGAAUCCGGGAGAGGGAUGCGGAAUUCCAGGUGUAGCGGUGAAAUGCGUAGAUAUCUGGAGGAGCACCGGUGGCGAAGGCGGCAUCCUGGACCGGCAUUGACGCUGAGGAGCGAAAGCCAGGGGAGCAAACGGGA
rnacentral:rRNA from 1 species